GACGAACGCUGGCGGCGUGCUUAACACAUGCAAGUCGAACGAAGAGCGACGGAAGCUUGCUUCUAUCAAUCUUAGUGGCGAACGGGUGAGUAACGCGUAAUCAACCUGCCCUUCAGAGGGGGACAACAGUUGGCAAAGACUGCUAAUACCGCAUACGAUCUAAUCUCGGCAUAGAGGAUGGAUGAAAGGUGGCCUCUACAUGUAAGCUAUCACUGAAGGAGGGGAGUGCGUCUGAUUAGCUAGUUGGAGGGGUACCGGCCGACCAAGGCGAUGAUCAGUAGCCGGUCUGAGAGGAUGAACGGCCACAUUGGGACCGGGACACGGCCCAGACUCCUACGGGAGGCAGCAGUGGGGAAUCUUCCGCAAUGGACGAAAGUCUGACGGAGCAACGCCGCGUGAGUGAUGACAGCCUUCGGGUUGUAAAGCUCUGUUAAUCGGGACGAAAGGCCUUCUUGCGAAUAGUGAGAAGGAUUGACGGUACCGGAAUAGAAAGCCACGGCUAACUACGUG
rnacentral:rRNA from 1 species